GUAAUGUUGCCUGAAAGCAAGGCUGUCAUUGUUAACACUGCUGAUCAACUCUUCCGAGGCUUUGAGGGAACCAAGAGUUGCAGUUUCAAGGUCGUAUGGAUGAUGGGACAUCUCUGGAAAGGGCCAACUCUAAGCAACUGUGUUUCAAUUGGAACAUUACAAAUACACAACUGAAUGAAAGAUGAGAAGACAAUCUGUCGGGGGGCCGGCAGCACUGAAGUCCACUGUAGUUUGCAGAGCAACAUUUACUGUUUCAUCUGAGUCUUGGUUAUUUCUACCGCCG